rnacentral:snRNA from 1 species
GGAUGUGAGGGCGAUCUGGCUGCGACAUCUGUCACCCGAUUGAUCGCCAGGGUUGAUUCGGCUGAUCUGGCUGGCUAGGCAGGUGUCCCCUUCCUCCCUCACCGCUCCAUGUGCGUCCCUCCCGAAGCUGCGCGCUUGGCCGAAGAGGAUGACCUUCCCCGAUAGAGGAGAGGACCAUUCUUCGGUCAAGGGUAUACGAGUAGCUGCACUCCCCUGCUAGAACCUCCAAACAAGCUCUCAAGGUCCAUUUGUAGGAGAACGUAGGGUAGUCAAGCUUCCAAGACUCCAGACACAUCCAAAUGAGGCGCUGCACGUGGCAGUCUGCCUUAA